rnacentral:lncRNA from 1 species
GCUAAGGCCUGUCUCCAAACCUUUGCUCUUCUCUCCGCCUCAGAUGCCUCUCCCCUCCCAUCUCUGCCCACAGAACUCCUCAUACUCUUCCCAGCUCAAGUUUCACAAUCUCCACGAAGUUUGCCAAGGUCACCUCUUCCUGCCGCAUCCUCCUCCUCCUCUAUCAUAGCCAACGCUUAUCUGACAUUGCCAAGUGCAGGGCUAGAAGCUUCAUAUGUGUUAUCUAAUUUAAUGCUCCCAAUACCAGUAUGAGAAUGGUGUCAUCAUCCUUUUGUACACAGAAUCCACUGCAGCUCAGAACAGGUAAGUGGCUUCCCCAAGGUCAUCCAGCCGGUGAGAUAUAGAGGCCAUGUUCAAAUACAGGUCUCUGAGGGCAAAGCCCGUUCUUAAGCAUUAGGAGCCCUUGCUACCCAUGAGACAGUGGACAUGGCCCCCAACAUUGUCCCUUGGUGCUCUCUCUUGAUCUUUUUCUUUUAAGGUUUGUUUUAUAUACUUGUCUCCACCCGGGAGACCAGGAGCUGAGUCUCUUGAGAGCCAGGACCUUGACCCAGUUGCCGCAUGCUCUCCUCUCUUGUUCCCAGCCCUCACCCAUGCUGCCCUUCCCUCCCUUCCCUGCCCACCUGGCAAAUCUGCUGGGCUCCAGGCAAACACAAGCUCCUCCAAGGGCCCUCCCUGCUCCUUGCAGGCCACCUCUUCUCAGGGAUCUCACAGUUUUCCACGGCACUGAAAUGGCUGGUGAAAGAAUCCGUCUCCCUGAGACCAUGAGCUCCUCAAGGAAGCUGGGACUGACACCUCCAUGUCUCCAGGGCCCAGCCCAGGACCUGGCACAGCUCUGUGUUCAGUGUUGGCUGAAUGAAUGAAUCCAGUCCACCAUGAAUUGAUCCUGAAGUGGACCUAGAGUUGGAGGGACUAGACUAUUGAUUUUGCAACUUAUUAACUAUGGGAUCUCAGACAAGUCCCUUCACCCAUUUGGGCCUCAGUUUUCUCAUCUGUAGAAUGGGGAUGAUUUGAGGAAAACAGAGGUUGAAGCACUUCAUAAACCGAGUUGCUGCAUAGUUGUGAGGUGAGAUGAUGGAGGUUCCCAAGCCCAGGCUCCAGGGAAAGACUUUGGCACUUGCCCCUUGCUAAACAAAGCAUGCAAUUUUAAAGGCUCACAGCUAUCGCAGAUUUUCCUAAAACAUGCGUCAAUACAAAAGUUGUUGAGUUCCUUUAGAGAAACACUGUAACGGAGACUCCCUGCACUGACAAUUUAGCUGAGCAAGUUUGCUCUGGCUGUGCACGCCCCAGGGAUUCCUCCAUACCUGCAGCUGGAACCCAUGAAGAAACUUUGGGCCUUUAAUUAGAACCAUUUGCCCUUCCAAUGAACGGCAGGUGGCUGGGCCAACUUACAAAGAGAUGCUCAUUAGAGCAGUAUGUGCCCUUUGAUCCAUCCGUCUGACUGCUGGGACUCUGUCCUAAAGAAAUAAUCCCAAAUAUGGAAAGGCUUAUGAACAAAUACACCAUCUUUGGAGUAUUUCUUGUAACGGCAGAGAAACUGGAAUCAACCGGAAUAUCCAAUGGGGAAUAAGUUGCUGAUGUUUCCUCAACUGGAUGGGACUUUAUUACUCACUGAGAAGAAAUGGCUGGGAAGGCUUUGGAGCAACAUAAAGUAUGUUUAUGAUAGAAUGUUAAGUAAACAAAUCAGGUUACAAAACUAUGUACCCUGAGAUGAACUAUGCAAACUAUGCAUAUAAAUAUCAGAAAUAGGCUGGGCGCGGUGGCUCUUGCCUGUCAUCCCAGCACUUUGCGA